CGCCGCCACCCAUAGAACCCACCUUUCUUCCUCACGAGCGGCGAGCGAUGUCGGACCGCAGAUCUCGCUCUCGCCAUGUCCUCAGCACUGCCGCAGAUAGCCGCGGCAGAUCUGUCGCUCCCUAUUCCAUCAGCGCUGCUGCCAGGGGCUGCCGCAGAUCUGUCGAUCGCUCUGCUGCCGAGGGCCGCCGCAGAUCUGUCGAUCGCUCUGCUGCCCUCAGAUCUCUUGCGUCUACCCUGCCGCCUGGGUACGAUCCGUCGCUUCUUCCUACGUGUACGUGGCCACCGACGCAGAGCUCGCGCGACUCCUUGGUGCGCGGACUCCUGAGAAGCUGGUAGGGCCCAGCCUCUACUGCCAGCACUACGGCGCCGUCCCGGAGCCCGAGGCCAAGCGCGCUGCCGCAGCCAUUGAGGCCGAGGCCUUCGCUGCCAUCUCCGAGUACGCCUCCGGCGUGACCUUGGCCUCCCGCAAGGAGCGUUUCGCCGUCUACAAAAUGUACUUGAAGGAGGCUUGCGAUUGGCUCCUCGGGUUCUUCAAAUCCCGAGCGGCCGCAAGGGGGGCCAUGGUGGAACCGGGGGAUUCGUCGGCGCCUACUUUGGCUCUUGCCGCUUCCACUUCCGAGGAGUAGGGCUUUCAUCAUAUGGGAAUUUAAUUGCUGUUAUUUUGUUGGUUCGUUGGACACUUGUUCAUGAUUUCCUACGUCUAUGGUUAGUACUACUAUAUGCUGUCUAUCAGAGAUUCGCACGCGUGAAAACUUAUGUUUGUUUCUGAAACUCCUUCGCUAUCUAUAAAUAAUAUCGAGAAAGUUAUUAAAGGUGCAUCCUUGCCAUUGCAUAGGUAUAUGUUGUGCAUCAGCAUAUUUGUUUUGGAAUUCUGUUUUUCUGGUUUUAAUAUUUUGGAGUGUGUUGUUUUCCAUGUCGAUCAAGGGAGUAGUAAUACUGUGUUGUGUUAGCUUGGGAUUAAUCUGUUUUCUCUAAAGUGAAAGUGCUGC
rnacentral:rRNA from 1 species